rnacentral:rRNA from 1 species
UGACGUCAAAUCAUCAUGCCCCUUAUGACCUGGGCUACACACGUGCUACAAUGGACAGAACAAAGGGCAGCGAAACCGCGAGGUUAAGCCAAUCCCACAAAUCUGUUCUCAGUUCGGAUCGCAGUCUGCAACUCGACUGCGUGAAGCUGGAAUCGCUAGUAAUCGCGGAUCAGCAUGCCGCGGUGAAUACGUUCCCGGGCCUUGUACACACCGCCCGUCACACCACGAGAGUUUGUAACACCCGAAGUCGGUGAGGUAACCUUUUAGGAGCCAGCCGCCGAAGGUGGGACAGAUGAUUGGGGUGAAGUCGUAACAAGGUAGCCGUAUCGGAAGGUGCGGUUGGAUCAC